GAGAAGAGAAAUAGUUAAAUUAGAUAUAGCUGAUGGUAAACUGCUUUCAUGAAAGUUUUCUUAAAAUUCUUAUUUAAGACAUUAUACCUACUUUAGAUAAGUUAUUCCUCCAGAAUUGCAAGCUAAGUGGUCACACCUUCUGAUUUAUAGUCAGACACUUUUAUAUAAAAGCUUCAGAGUUGGGUCUUAACUGCAUGGCUUCCACACCUGCAAACCAUUGCCCUUCCUUUCUGAAGUCGUC
rnacentral:lncRNA from 1 species